rnacentral:tRNA from 1 species
AUUAAAGUGACAGAAAAAUGUAAGGAAUUUAAGCUUCCUUUAUGAACCUAAGUUCCUUUAAUA